rnacentral:sRNA from 1 species
UUCUCGCCUGUUGCUGGGGAUUUAUGAACAUGGCUAUGGAAACUGGGAGUUAAUUAAAACAGACCCAGAGCUUAAAUUAACUGACAAAGAGGGUGACAGC